GGUAAUUUAUCGGAGCAUAAAGCAAAACAGUGCACGUAGUGUCCUCGCACUUUUUGUACUUGUUACCACACUUGGUGCUUAUUCAGAACAGAAUAAC
rnacentral:lncRNA from 1 species